UUUGCACUUCCGUCUUCCGGGCGGAGGCCACCCGGGGCGGACGCAUUGCACGCCGGGAGACAAAAUGUCUCAAGAAGCCUUGAGAGGCGGGAUUUUGGAACCCGGGCGCUGACGAGCUUCCGCCAUUGGUGUGAUCGCGGACCUAGAAACUUGGUCCGUCCCAUACAGGUGUCGAAGUCGGAUUUGGAGAAUGCUGACGGGUGUCCGGUCAAGGUUAGGCCCCAG
rnacentral:antisense_RNA from 1 species